GAGAACCUGAGAGCACAAGAAGAACAAAGGAUGUCGUCAGUACUUGGUACUUGAUUUUUGUACUGAAUGUUGAGUGACAUCAUCUGGAUUUGGAUAUGUUUACAAAUCACCACCAAAUGCUGCCUUCCCAGCAGACAGGAGGCUCCGUGAGGUCAGGCCUUGUCUGUUCACACUGCAGCUCUAGAGUCUGUUGAGGGUGCUUGGCCCUUAGUAGGUGCUCAUGAUUUAUUGGUUGUCACAGAAAUAUAGAAUACCUAGAGCAGCUCUGUCCAGUAGAAAUAAAAUGAGAGCCAUAUAUGUAAUUUUAGAUUUUCUAGUGGCCACAGUAAUACAAGUCGGAAGAAGCAGGUGAAAUUAAUACACAUUUUACUCCACUAGAGUUGAAGUAUCAUUUGAACUUGUAGUCAGUAUAGAAUGUAAUGAAGAUGUUUUACAUGUUUUUAAGUCUUUCAGACCCAGUGUACGUUUUACACUUUUAAUUCCAUUUGGAUUAGCUGCUUACACACACUCAAUGGCCACAUGUGGCCAGAGGCUACAGUAGUGGACAGCAUGGGUCUAGAGACUGCGAUUCUAGCUGGUGGGCCCGACCCUGGUAUAGGAGAGCCACAGGUUAACCGGCAUCCCAGGUUGAUGGAAGAGCAUGAAGUGAAGUCUGAACGGGGUGAUACAAGUGGAGCGUGAGUAUGAGAGGUGUGGAGAUGAUGGGAAUGGGGAAGUUGUAAAGAGUGGAAGGCCUUGAAUGCCGUUUUUUGGAGUUGGAAUUUAUGCAGUAGGUGGUGGGGAACCUCUCAGGACUUCUCAGCUGGGAAUGACCCCACCAGACACCUGGACGUAUUCUGAAGGAUGAGUUGGAAGGAGAUUGAAAGGGGAUACAGAUGUUAGAAAUACUCCAAUCACAGCCAGACACUAAGAGCCUUAACUCGACUGUAGUGUGUGCAUACUCAAUCAUGUUCGACUCUGUGACCCCAUGGACUGUAGCCUACCAAGCUCCUCUGUCCGUGGGAUUUCCCAGGUGAGAACACUCGAGUGGGUUGCCAUUUCCUACUCAACGGGAUUUUCCCAACCCAGAGAUGGAACCCGCGUGUCUUGCGUCUCCUGCACCGGCAGGCAGGUUCUUUACCGUGGCAGCACUUGGCAAGACGGUGGGCGGGGAGGAGAAAAGGAGUGACUCGGAGAGAGAUUUUGGAGGCUGAUGGUGAUCUCAAGACUGGGUGUCUAGGAACAUACUGGUGUAGCUAACUGUUGAGAGACCGCAGGAGAGGUUAGGAGCAUGAGAAGUUUGGGGGGGCGGUGGGCGGUGGAUAUGCUGAGGUUAAAGUGCCUGUAGGACGCCAUGGAGAGGUGACUUGCAGCACUGGAGUUGAGAAUUUGCAAGUUAUUUGCACAGUCAUGCUCCCUGAAGCCCUGGGAAAGGAUGAGCUCAUCUAGGGACGGCUCAUGUUUAUUGCACGAAGUGGGCCAAGGGCACGCAUUACACCACAAGACAAGAGACAAAGGCAGACUUUCUUGCAGGAAUAGUCUGACCCUGUGUGGAGACCGUGGUGAAAUACAUUCACAAUGACCGACUGUGCGUCUCAGCCUCACCCUUCAGUCAUUGGCCAGGGUGACCUUGUCUCAGCGCUCGCCUCAGAACCCGCAGGGCCUGGCUGGAUGGCAGAGCUCCUUCCUCGCUGGUCUGUAACAUUCUCCCCUCUGAAGCUAAAGGAGAGGCUGGUUUCCCACCAGCUCUGGAGCCUCAGAGGAUCUAAACUAUUGUGCCAUUUAGAGUGAGACACAGCAGUGAAACUCAAAUCUAGAAACUGGACUUGUCAGAGUUUUGUGUCUAAAUUCUAGUGGGUUAGCCAUGGGAGGAAAAGGAUUCUUCAUUUAUUAUACCAAUAAGAGAUUUAAAUAUUAGAAAAGUGAAAUCAUAAAAGUAUUUGAAUAAAACAUGAAAUAUAUAUAUGUAUACAUAUGUAUGUAUGUGCAUAUAUAUGCUUGUAUGUAUGUGUAUAUAUACAUGUUUGUAUAUGUGUGUGUGUAUAUAUAUAUAUACACACACACAAGACGUAAAUAUUCAAGAGAAGUCACACAUUCAGCAUUUUAUGUGAAGUUGCCCAAUUUUUUAACGUUGGCAACUAUUUGAAAACAUUUUCAUCUACAGAUCACACAAACAUCCCACGAGCUAGCAGCUUUGCAGGCGUAGUGUUAUUGUGACUGCAGCAAUUCGGAGGUACCAUCUCAAGCAGUACUAGCCUCCCCUUGGAAUGGCAGUGAUCACUCCAUUAGCAUGAUAGGAGUCCCUCAGCUCCUCCCUCUUCUUGCCAAGCCAUCCACAAGUCAUGUCUCUCCAAAACCUACGGAAUCCUUGCUAGUCCAAGCCACCAUCACCUGUCACCUGGAUAACCCAUCCUUGCCUUUCUUCAUUUUGUGUUUCACACAGCAGCCAAAGCAAUCUUUAAAAAUUCAAAUAACAGUGUAUCCCUUCUCUUAAAACCCUCCAAAGGAUUUCCUAUGAGUAGUACAAAACUCUGACUGCUCUAGUGUUCUGUUUUGUGUGACUUGUCCCCUGCCUAUGCUCACCGCCCUUUAUGCUCACUGCAUGCUGACCAUAUUAGCCUCAGGCUUGUGCUUCCUGGAGAAAAGCCAAGUGCCUUCCCAUCCAGGUUUCCCAGAUGGCCUAGUGGUAACGAACCCGCCUGCCACUGCAGGAGAUGCAGGCGAUACGGGUUCAAUCCCUGGUUGAGGAAGAUCCCCUGGAGGAGGGCAUGACGAUCCACUCCAGUAUUCUUGCCUGGAGAAUCCCAUGAACAGGGGAGCCUGGUGGGCCACAGUCCAAGGCGUCACAGUCAGAAAUGACUGAGCCCGCGCGCGCACGCGCACGCACACACACGCACGCACGCACACACACACACACACACACACACACACGCCCCAUCGCCUCUGCGCUGCUCUCCCCCAUGUCUGCUUUUUGCAGGGCUUUUCACAUGCUGUGUCCUCCACUUCCAGGUUUCCGAAUAUACAUAUUCCAGAGGGGCCUUUGGCAAGGACAUUAUCUAAAGUGGGCUCACUUGUUUCCCAGUUGGUCUCUAUUAAAACACCAUCUUCAUUUAUUUAUUUAUCCCUUCUCACUUGAAAUUACACGUCUAUGAUGUGCCUCUUCCACUGGAAUGUCAGCCCCUUGAAGGCUGGGUGAUGUGUGUCUGCUUUCCUGUGGUAUACCCAGUGCUGGCUACAGAGCAAGCUUGCCUAAUCCACUCUUUCUCAGGCAGCCCGUGAACUCUUGAGGGCAGUGACCUGUACUUAUCUCAGAACGCUCUCUGCCUAACAUGGUGCCAGACACAGAAUAAGCACUCAAUAUGUAUUGUUGUAUGUAUCAGUUGCUCCGUCGUGUCUGACUCUGCAACCCCAUGAACUGCAGCACGCCAGAACUCCCUGUCCUUCACUAUCUCUCAGAGUUUGCUCAAUAUAUAUUAGUGGAAUUGAAAUCACUGGAUUGCAUUUCAGUUCCUUUGUGUAUAGACUGUUCCUCUGUUUCCUCCUCCUCAUUGUGUAGCCUUUAUCUGUUCCCAAAGCAUAAGUGACAAAAAGAGAAGAUGGGAGUGACUUGCAUAAGAGGAGCAUUCCCCAGGCAGAGACAGGGAACCCCAGAAUCCAGCAAGGGUUGUGGGCCUGGGGGCUUCUCAGAACCAGAGAGGCAAAGGUGAUUACCCAGCUGCACAGCCCUAAGAAAGGGGAUGGUGGGUAGGAGGUCGGCACCUUUAUCUCCAGCAUAUUCAGGGCUGUUUUUCAAAAGAAUUUGAAAAACAUUUUAAGUUUAAUCUAGUUUGUCCCCACCUCCAUCUACUUCCUUCCGAGAGAGGUAGCAGGGGUAAGUACUGGUUUCACGGGAAGAUGGACAGAGGAGAAGCUCUUAGUUCUGUUACCCAGUGAGCAAAACCACACUGCUCUGGCUCUCAGGGCAGGUAACAGCCGUGGCAAGAGUCGUGGUGGGCUCGCUCCUGCGGCCCCUGGAGCACGGUGCAGGCUCAGGACUAAAAUGUGGCCACUAGGGACGGGAUGGUCACCACAGCCUCCAACCCACCCCUCUCCAGGGCUCCCAGGACAUCUCUCGCUUCCCCUCCUGCUGCCCUUACAGGCUUCCUGGGUACUGCAGGCACCAUCGAGGCCUGGCAAUCCCUGCAGGGGAGGGAGUAGGGUGGAUGCUCCUGAAACUGCUAUUAGGGAGAGGUGAUCCUGGAAUUCUGAGCCGAUUUGUCUUCGAUGUGGCAAAUAUUCACUCAUUCAAUAGGCAUUUCUUGAGUUGAGUUGACUAGGGGCCACGGAGUCCUAGGAACUGGAAAAUCAAUGGAGAAGCAAGAAAGAUACAGGUCUCUGACCUCAGGGGAGACAGGCAAUUAUAAUACAGAAGUGCUGAGAUGGAGAGAGGAAUAUAGGAUACUAGGAAAGCAGAAAGGAGAGGCUUGGCAUACUGCAGACAGACAAUAAAAAUUUGUAGGGGAAAAAAGUGAAUACAU